AUGGUACGUAAGGUUUGGGGUCCUUUACGUCUUGGUAGGAGAUGUUGUGCUGCUAAAUCUUAUUCUUGGAGUGACGGAUUCCUACAGCAGUGAUGUGUCAAUGUCCAUUCACGAGGAAAAAUGCUACAGUAUAAGAUAUUUGUUGUCUCACGUCCUAACAGCCUACGUCUUAGAAAUAGUAGUUAACAAAUUCACCAAAAUGUUGUUGUAUAUUUAGAUUUAAAAUUUACAGAAACGAAAUGAAUUAAUAGUUCUAGACUAUAAAUGAUUCGCUAUAUUUGUCAUUGCUCUCAAACUGUAUAGGACAUUCUUACAAUCUUUGUACAUUCGUACAUUUUUACACAUUACUAACUUCAACCUCCGAUCCAAAAUUUACUUCUGUGCUUGAUGCUAAUACCUUGUUACAAACUUGUCAUAUAUGUGCUAACAUUAAUGCAGCAAGGUUAUGC
rnacentral:lncRNA from 1 species